AUGGACUUCUUUUUUUUUCUUUUCUUUCACAGACAAUUAUAUUCUUCAAAUAACCAAGUUAUGCAUAUGAUUACAAAGAACUUUUGCAGCACGUGUUACUUACAUUAUUAAAAUGCAAAUAAAAUUACAUGAAAUUAGUAUACACAAGGAGAUUAUAGAAGAAUUAGUUGAUAGAUUUUCUAAGAUACCUAAAUGCAGCCAACCCAAGUACCACAAAUAAAACAACCAGAACGCAGUUCUUCAAAUUUCUUGACUUUUUCAUCUCCAUCACCAUAUCUCCAAAAACCUGCUUGAAAUUUUCUUUUGCAAAUAUAUAAUAACUUCCCCUUAUGAUUCCUUUUCCAACUUCAUUUUUAUCUGUCUUAUCCUGAACAAAAUCAUCAACCUUUUCUUGUUUUCCUGCGUCAGCAGCCAUUCCAUUGCUCGUAUUUUUCUGCUCGUAUUUGCUCAUUUCCUUCUCCUUCUCUAUUGUCUGCCGAGAAACAAUAUUCCCAUUUCCUACCCCAUCAUCAGCUUUGCCAGUUUUUGCCUCAGGUUCACUUGUGGGCUUUUCAGGCUUCAAAGGUUCAGAUGUUUCUGCUGGUGCUGGUUGUUUUCUAGAGAAUUGCUUUUUCAGCUUUGAAGGGUCGGCAGCUUGCUGUGCCUUUUCAUGCGGUGGCUUUGGAGGCUUUGGUGCUUCUUGGGAUGGUGGUUUUGGAGCUUCUGUUGAUGGUUUGAUAAUCUCCUGUGGCUGAUUAUCAGUAACAACUAUUUUAGGGUGUCUGAUAAGAAGUAAACCUUUUUCAAGCUUAGCACCGAUUCCAUUAGGAUCAUAAUUUGAACCAAUAGGAAUUUCCUUGAGGAAACGGCUCCAUUUGUUGCCAUCACCAAGGGGACGUUCUCCACUGAUCCUUAGAUUUCGAGAUGUGGUUACUUGCACUUUCAUUUGCUCCUUUUUAAAGCCUGGUAGAUAGACCCUGAGUGUGUCAAUUGCAGGCUCUCGUACCCAGUCCAUUGAAGGCUCGAAAUCUUCAUAUACACGUCCAGCUGCAGUAGUCUUUUGUUGCCUUGAAUCCAUUUUAAUAAGUAUUACCUUUAUUUGCUUCUGAUGAGAUUUUGUGCAAAAUUCAGAGAACUUGAAGGGUUUUUGUACACAAACUCAGAAGGAAUUAUGGGUAUAGU
rnacentral:misc_RNA from 1 species